GCCCUCGUAGCUUAACGGACAAAGUGAUGGUUUCCGGAACCAUUGAUACCAGUUCGAUUCUGGUCGGGGGCA
rnacentral:tRNA from 1 species